GGAAUAUGUUUAAUAGUUGAAGCUACAUCUUUAGAAAAGAGCUGCUCAAUAAGGGAAGAAUUCCAUUGCAAAUGGUUGUGAUCUAUCAAGUCUACAACUACAUUUAUGUGAGCUGGGCAAUGAGUACAUCUCAUAACAUGAAAAUUAUGGAUGUUUGGUGCCCAAGGAUCAAACCAAAUGAGAGUAUCUUUGCCAUCCCCAAUAUUGUGUCUGAAACCUUCCUUUAAAAAUCUCUACCUGUUAAGAGACUCUGCCAAAUCCAUGACCUUCAUUUUGCUCUUGAAGGAGCUAGCCAGAAUGAAGAAUGGGGAAAAUAGAUGUUUUUUACAAUACGAGCCCAAAGACUGCUAGGGUUAUUAACUAACCUCCAACAUUGUUUAGCCAAGCAAGCUAUGUUAAAAAGCUCAAAGUCACGAAACCAUUACCUCCUUGUGAUUUAGGGAAAAAAGCCAUUUUCCAACUAACCCAAUGCAUCUUCUUCUCCUUAUCUUUCCUUCCCCACCAAAAAUUAGAGACUAAUCCCCACCAAAAGUUAGAGACUAAGCUGUUCAACUACUUGCAAAAGCUCUUUGGGAAUUUAAGGAUGGCCAUAGCAUAUGUGGGAAUAGCACUAAUCACUAAUUUUAUAAGAGUCUCCCUUCUGGCUUGAGAUAACAACUUCUGUUUCCAAGAUUGGGUCUUGGGCGAGAUGCGAUCCUUAAUGAAGCUUAAAGCCUGGUUCUUUGAAAGUCCCCACAGAGAGGGCAGUCCCAAAUGCUUAUCAUCCUCUUUCAAUUCGCUCAUGGAGAACAUGGCUAAAAUAUCUCUCUUUAAUUGCCAAGGUGUCCUCUUGCUGAAGGAGAUACUUGAUUUAUGGAAAUUAAUCUUUUGGCCUAUGC
rnacentral:misc_RNA from 1 species